rnacentral:SRP_RNA from 1 species
GCCAGAUGUGGUGGCAUGUGUCUGUAGUCCCAGCUACUUGGGAGGCUGAGGUAGGAGGAUUGCUUGAGCCCAGGAGUUCUAGGUUGCAGUGAGCUAUGAUUGCAAUACUGCAGUCCAGCCUGGGUGACAGAGUUCGACCCUGUCUCUU